UUAAGCGAACAAGCGUACACGGUGGAUGCCCUGGCAGUCAGAGGCGAUGAAGGACGUGCCUAAUCUGCGAAAAGCGCCGGUAAGGUGAUAUGAACCGUUAUAACCGGCGAUGUCCGAAUGGGGAAACCCGGUGCACUUCGGUGCAUCAUCGUUAGCUGAAUACAUAGGCUAACGAGGCGAACCGGGGGAACUGAAACAUCUAAGUACCCCGAGGAAAAGAAAUCAACCGAGAUUCCCCCAGUAGCGGCGAGCGAACGGGGAACAGCCCAGAGCCUGAAUCAGCUUGUGUGUCAGUGGAACGGUCUGAAAGGCCGGCGAUACAGGGUGACAGCCCCGUACACGAAGGCACACAGGCUGUGAGCCUCGAUUGAGUAGGGCGGGACACGUGAUAUCCUGUCUGAAGAUGGGGGGACCAUCCUCCAAGGCUAAAUACUCCUGACUGACCGAUAGUGAACCAGUACCGUGAGGGAAAGGCGAAAAGAACCCCGGCGAGGGGAGGUGAAACAGAACCUGAAACCGUGUACGUACAAGCAGUGGGAGCCUUCGUAAGAGGGUGACUGGCGUACCUUUUGUAUAAUGGGUCAGCGACUUAUAUUCUGUAGCAAGGUUAACCGUAUAGGGGAGCCGAAGGGAAACCGAGUCUUAACCGGGCGUUAAGUUGCAGGGUAUAGACCCGAAACCCGGUGAUCUAGCCAUGGGCAGGUUGAAGGUUGGGUAACACUAACUGGAGGACCGAACCGACUAAUGUUGAAAAAUUAGCGGAUGACCUGUGGCUGGGGGGUGAAAGGCCAAUCAAACCGGGAGAUAGCUGGUUCUCCCCGAAAGCUAUUUAGGUAGCGCCUCGUGAACUCAUCUCCGGGGGUAGAGCACUGUUUCGGCUAGGGGGGCCAUCCCGGCUUACCAACCCGAUGCAAACUGCGAAUACCGGAGAAUGUUAUCACGGGAGACACACGGCGGGUGCUAACGUCCGUCGUGAAGAGGGAAACAACCCAGACCGCCAGCUAAGGUCCCAAAGUCAUGGUUAAGUGGGAAACGAUGUGGGAAGGCCCAGACAGCCAGGAUGUUGGCUUAGAAGCAGCCAUCAUUUAAAGAAAGCGUAAUAGCUCACUGGUCGAGUCGGCCUGCGCGGAAGAUGUAACGGGGCUAAACCAUGCACCGAAGCUGCGGCAGCGACGCUUAUGCGUUUGUUGGGUAGGGGAGCGUUCUGUAAGCCUGCGAAGGUGUGCUGUGAGGCAUGCUGGAGGUAUCAGAAGUGCGAAUGCUGACAUAAGUAACGAUAAAGCGGGUGAAAAGCCCGCUCGCCGGAAGACCAAGGGUUCCUGUCCAACGUUAAUCGGGGCAGGGUGAGUCGACCCCUAAGGCGAGGCCGAAAGGCGUAGUCGAUGGGAAACAGGUUAAUAUUCCUGUACUUGGUGUUACUGCGAAGGGGGACGGAGAAGGCUAUGUCGGCCGGGCGACGGUUGUCCCGGUUUAAGCGUGUAGGCUGACUUUCCAGGCAAAUCCGGAAAGUUAAGGCUGAGGCGUGAUGACGAGGCACCACGGUGCUGAAGUGACAAAUGCCCUGCUUCCAGGAAAAGCCUCUAAGCAUCAGGUAACAUCAAAAUCGUACCCCAAACCGACACAGGUGGUCAGGUAGAGAAUACCAAGGCGCUUGAGAGAACUCGGGUGAAGGAACUAGGCAAAAUGGUGCCGUAACUUCGGGAGAAGGCACGCUGACAUGUAGGUGAAGCCCCUGCGGGUGGAGCUGAAGUCAGUCGAAGAUACCAGCUGGCUGCAACUGUUUAUUAAAAACACAGCACUGUGCAAACACGAAAGUGGACGUAUACGGUGUGACGCCUGCCCGGUGCCGGAAGGUUAAUUGAUGGGGUUAUCGCAAGAGAAGCUCCUGAUCGAAGCCCCGGUAAACGGCGGCCGUAACUAUAACGGUCCUAAGGUAGCGAAAUUCCUUGUCGGGUAAGUUCCGACCUGCACGAAUGGCGUAAUGGAUGGCCAGGCUGUCUCCACCCGAGACUCAGUGAAAUUGAACUCGCUGUGAAGAUGCAGUGUACCCGCGGCCAAGACGGAAAGACCCCGUGAAACCUUUACUACAGCUUGACACUGAACAUUGAGCCUUGAUGUGUAGGAUAGGUGGGAGGCUUUGAAGCGUGGACGCCAGUCUGCGUGGAGCCGACCUUGAAAUACCACCCUUUAAUGUUUGAUGUUCUAACCUGGCGCCAUAAUCUGGCGUGGGGACAGUGUCUGGUGGGUAGUUUGACUGGGGCGGUCUCCUCCCAAAGUGUAACGGAGGAGCACGAAGGUCAGCUAAUCCUGGUCGGACAUCAGGAGGUUAGUGCAAUGGCAUAAGCUGGCUUGACUGCGAGAGUGACGGCUCGAGCAGGUGCGAAAGCAGGUCAUAGUGAUCCGGUGGUUCUGUAUGGAAGGGCCAUCGCUCAACGGAUAAAAGGUACUCCGGGGAUAACAGGGCUGAUACCGCCCAAGAGUUCAUAUCGACGGCGGUGUUUGGCACCUCGAUGUCGGCUCAUCACAUCCUGGGGCUGAAGUAGGUCCCAAGGGUAUGGCUGUUCGCCAUUUAAAGUGGUACGCGAGCUGGGUUUAGAACGUCGUGAGACAGUUCGGUCCCUAUCUGCCGGUGGGCGCUGGAGAAUUGAGGGGGGCUGCUCCCAGUACGAGAGGACCGGAGUGGACGCAUCACUGGUGUUCGGGUUGUCAUGCCAAUGGCACUGCCCGGUAGCUAAAUGCGGAAGAGAUAAGUGCUGAAAGCAUCUAAGCACGAAACUUGCCCCGAGAUGAGUUCUCCCUGAGACUAUAAGUCUCCUGAAGGAACGUUGAAGACGACGACGUUGAUAGGCCGGGUGUGUAAGCGCAGCGAUGCGUUGAGCUAACCGGUACUAAUGAACCGUGAGGCUUAACCUU
rnacentral:rRNA from 1 species